GUUUAUAGAUUAUAUGGAAUCUACAUUUUAACCUUUAAAUCAAAUGUAUCGCAAAAAUAUUAUUCAUGUCACAAAAAGUUCAAAGUUUAUUUGAGUGUUUUGGGUGAUUAUCGAUCAGAGACUUCUGCUACCACGGAAACCAGAAAUCUCAGUCUCUAUUGUGUUCUCUUUCAUAACCGAGAUGUAAAUCCCUAGCAGGACAGGUGAAAAGACAGGCAUAUGCAAGAAGGCUGCAUACCUUCAAGAGUUGAAAAGGUUCCCAACUAAGACAGAUCUAUCAUUUCUUCCAUGAAUUGCUUGCCUACGCAAUGGAGGUGCAUAAACAGUUAUUGGAAGCACCCAGUCACCCUUCUCUCUUUUCUCGACGAGAAGUGGAUGUUCAUACCUGCCAAAAGAGAGAAACCAGAAUUGCUGAUUCAAAACUAACAGCAGCAGACUAGAAAAGAUCACCCUUUCCCAGUAUGGCAGUACCAGAUAAUGGUUGAAACAAAUUGCUUAACACCAAUAAUUAGCAUAGUUCUGAAGAAACUAAUUGUAGCUGUGGUGAUUAUAGCUUGUGUAUUGCUAUGCACAUCUAAGGACGAUGAGCAUAAAACAUAUCUCCUAUUUCUAUGAAGGAAUCAUUCUACUAUUGAUGUAAAUUAUGGAAACAGCACAGAAGGUACGAAACAACUCGUGGCCUACUUAGCAAUCCAACCCUGCGCUGUUAAGAGACACGGUGUCCAAGAUAAUGCUAUCAGGCUACAGCACAUAAAAUUGUUAAUACUGUUACAUACCUAGAUGAAUCAAUUCCUUCGGGAGUUGUGAAGAACUCAAAUCGAAGAGACCAUUGCACAGAAACUUUUGAAGUGGAAAAUGACAUUGGUCCAUCAAUUGGAACUGAAAAGAGAAAGCUUGUCUGGUGAAGAUCCGCAACAACUUCAUAGUGCUCACUGUGUACCUUUGCAGAGAGUCCAGAGAAAAAUGAGUGAAUCAUUAAAAUCAAUUUGCUGAUUUUACAGUGUAAAUGACUAAAUGUUUUUUAGACCAAAAGGCAAGCAAAGUAACCCUGCUUCCCGUCGAAAGCAAACAGUGUAAGUACAUAAAGACAAAAGGUGGUCUUUUUGGUGAAAAAGAAGCUAGCAGAAUACACAACAUUUGAUAUUGGCAUGUUACUAGAAUGCACUAGAUUUAUCAAUAGCAGGUAAAAGUCUAAGACUCAGAGGUGCUUAUAGAUUCUUGAUGGCCAUGACUAAUAUUUUGUGUUUGAGGGCAAUUAGCACAUGCCCUUUCCUCGACAAAUAAAAGUGUUAAGCACAUCCCUACUGUUCGAAUGGCAUUGUCCAUCAUGCUUAUUGUUCCAUAGUUACUGUUUGCUGCAAUUGCUGUUCAUGCACAGGUAGUUUGUUUUUCCAAAGGUUAGGUUAUUUUUUCUUUUGGAAGCUUUACUACUAAUGUACUCCAUGUGUUUUCUAAAGACUAUUUCUACAUUUCCUAGGUAGAGUCAUCACCACAGAAGGGCAUUGCACCUUCUUUAGUCGAGCAAAGAUGAGUAAACAAGUUCCUAAUCCCUAAAGUCCCAUUGUGGUCUCCCUUGGCCAGUGAUUGUACUCCCGACACUCCUUCCCCACGGU
rnacentral:sRNA from 1 species